UACGGAGGGUGCAAGCGUUGUCCGGAUUUAUUGGGUUUAAAGGGUGCGUAGGCGGCCUGAUAAGUCAGCGGUGAAAUACCCAGGCUCAACCUGGGGGGUGCCGUUGAUACUGUUAGGCUUGAGUACGUUCCGUGUACAUGGAAUUUAUGGUGUAGCGGUGAAAUGCAUAGAUACCAUAAGGAACACCGAUAGCGAAGGCAUUGUACAGGGGCGUAACUGACGCUGAUGCACGAAAGCGUGGGUAG
rnacentral:rRNA from 1 species